AGUGAACGCUGGUGGUAGGCCUAACACAUGCAAGUCGAACGGCAGCACAGUAAGAGCUUGCUCUUACGGGUGGCGAGUGGCGGACGGGUGAGGAAUACAUCGGAAUCUACUUUUUCGUGGGGGAUAACGUAGUGAAACUUACGCUAAUACCGCAUACGACCUACGGGUGAAAGCAGGGGAUCUUCGGACCUUGCGCGAUUGAAUGAGCCGAUGUCGGAUUAGCUAGUUGGCGGGGUAAAGGCCCACCAAGGCGACGAUCCGUAGCUGGUCUGAGAGGAUGAUCAGCCACACUGGAACUGAGACACGGUCCAGACUCCUACGGGAGGCAGCAGUGGGGAAUAUUGGACAAUGGGCGCAAGCCUGAUCCAGCCAUACCGCGUGGGUGAAGAAGGCCUUCGGGUUGUAAAGCCCUUUUGUUGGGAAAGAAAAGCAGCAGGUUAAUACCCCGCUGUUCUGACGGUACCCAAAGAAUAAGCACCGGCUAACUUCGUG
rnacentral:rRNA from 1 species